rnacentral:rRNA from 1 species
GAUGAACGCUGGCGGCGUGCCUAAUACAUGCAAGUCGAGCGAACAGACGAGGAGCUUGCUCCUCUGACGUUAGCGGCGGACGGGUGAGUAACACGUGGAUAACCUACCUAUAAGACUGGGAUAACUUCGGGAAACCGGAGCUAAUACCGGAUAAUAUAUUGAACCGCAUGGUUCAGUAGUGAAAGACGGUUUUGCUGUCACUUAUAGAUGGAUCCGCGCCGCAUUAGCUAGUUGGUAAGGUAACGGCUUACCAAGGCAACGAUGCGUAGCCGACCUGAGAGGGUGAUCGGCCACACUGGAACUGAGACACGGUCCAGACUCCUACGGGAGGCAGCAGUAGGGAAUCUGCCGCAAUGGGCGAAAGCCUGACGGAGCAACGCCGCGUGAGUGAUGAAGGUCUUCGGAUCGUAAAACUCUGUUAUUAGGGAAGAACAAAUGUGUAAGUAACUAUGCACGUCUUGACGGUACCUAAUCAGAAAGCCACGGCUAACUACGUG